rnacentral:rRNA from 1 species
GACGAACGCUGGCGGCGUGCUUAACACAUGCAAGUCGAACGGAAAGGCCCUGCUUUUGUGGGGUGCUCGAGUGGCGAACGGGUGAGUAACACGUGAGUAACCUGCCCUUGACUUUGGGAUAACUUCAGGAAACUGGGGCUAAUACCGGAUAGGAGCUCCUGCUGCAUGGUGGGGGUUGGAAAGUUUCGGCGGUUGGGGAUGGACUCGCGGCUUAUCAGCUUGUUGGUGGGGUAGUGGCUUACCAAGGCUUUGACGGGUAGCCGGCCUGAGAGGGUGACCGGCCACAUUGGGACUGAGAUACGGCCCAGACUCCUACGGGAGGCAGCAGUGGGGAAUAUUGCACAAUGGGCGGAAGCCUGAUGCAGCAACGCCGCGUGCGGGAUGACGGCCUUCGGGUUGUAAACCGCUUUCGCCUGUGACGAAGCGUGAGUGACGGUAAUGGGUAAAGAAGCACCGGCUAACUACGUGCCAGCAGCCGCGGUGAUACGUAGGGUGCGAGCGUUGUCCGGAUUUAUUGGGCGUAAAGGGCUCGUAGGUGGUUGAUCGCGUCGGAAGUGUAAUCUUGGGGCUUAACCCUGAGCGUGCUUUCGAUACGGGUUGACUUGAGGAAGGUAGGGGAGAAUGGAAUUCCUGGUGGAGCGGUGGAAUGCGCAGAUAUCAGGAGGAACACCAGUGGCGAAGGCGGUUCUCUGGGCCUUUCCUGACGCUGAGGAGCGAAAGCGUGGGGAGCGAACAGGCUUAGAUACCCUGGUAGUCCACGCUGUAAACGGUGGGUACUAGGUGUGGGGUCCAUUCCACGGGUUCCGUGCCGUAGCUAACGCUUUAAGUACCCCGCCUGGGGAGUACGGCCGCAAGGCUAAAACUCAAAGGAAUUGACGGGGCCCCGCACAAGCGGCGGAGCAUGCGGAUUAAUUCGAUGCAACGCGUAGAACCUUACCUGGGUUUGACAUGGAUCGGGAGUGCUCAGAGAUGGGUGUGCCUCUUUUGGGGUCGGUUCACAGGUGGUGCAUGGCUGUCGUCAGCUCGUGUCGUGAGAUGCUGGGUUAAGUCCCGCAACGAGCGCAACCCUUGUUCACUGUUGCCAGCACGUUAUGGUGGGGACUCAGUGGAGACCGCCGGGGUCAACUCGGAGGAAGGUGGGGAUGACGUCAAGUCAUCAUGCCCCUUAUGUCCAGGGCUUCACGCAUGCUACAAUGGCUGGUACAGAGAGUGGCGAGCCUGUGAGGGUGAGCGAAUCUCGGAAAGCCGGUCUCAGUUCGGAUUGGGGUCUGCAACUCGACCUCAUGAAGUCGGAGUCGCUAGUAAUCGCAGAUCAGCAACGCUGCGGUGAAUACGUUCCCGGGGCU